rnacentral:rRNA from 1 species
AUUGAACGCUGGCGGCAUGCUUUACACAUGCAAGUCGAACGGCAGCGCGGGCUUCGGCCUGGCGGCGAGUGGCGAACGGGUGAGUAAUACAUCGGAACGUGCCCAGUAGUGGGGGAUAGCUCGGCGAAAGCCGGAUUAAUACCGCAUACGACCUGAGGGUGAAAGCGGGGGAUCUUCGGACCUCGCGCUAUUGGAGCGGCCGAUGGCAGAUUAGCUAGUUGGUGGGGUAAAGGCCUACCAAGGCGACGAUCUGUAGCUGGUCUGAGAGGACGACCAGCCACACUGGGACUGAGACACGGCCCAGACUCCUACGGGAGGCAGCAGUGGGGAAUUUUGGACAAUGGGCGAAAGCCUGAUCCAGCAAUGCCGCGUGUGUGAUGAGGGCCUUCGGGUUGUAAAGCACUUUUGGCGGGAACGAAAAGGACUGUGCCAAUACCACGGUUCGAUGACGGUACCCGCAGAAUAAGCACCGGCUAACUACGU